rnacentral:rRNA from 1 species
GAUGAACGCUGGCGGCGUGCCUAAUACAUGCAAGUCGAGCGAACGGACGAGAAGCUUGCUUCUCUGAUGUUUUCGGCGGAAGGGUGCGUAACACGUUGAUAACCUACCUCUAAGACUUGGAUAACUUCGGGAAACCGGAGCUAAUACCGGAUAAUAUUUUGAACCGCAUUGUUCAAAAGUGAAAGACGGUCUUGCUGUCACUUAUAGAUGGAUCCGCGCUGCAUUAGCUAGUUGGUAAGGUAACGGCUUACCAAGGCAACGAUGCAUAGCCGACCUGAGAGGGUGAUCGGCCACACUGGAACUGAGACACGGUCCAGACUCCUACGGGAGGCAGCAGUAGGGAAUCUUCCGCAAUGGGCGAAAGCCUGACGGAGCAACGCCGCGUGAGUGAUGAAGGUCUUCGGAUCGUAAAACUCUGUUAUUAGGGAAGAACAUAUGUGUAAGUAACUGUGCACAUCUUGACGGUACCUAAUCAGAAAGCCACGGCUAACUACGUG